UGUCAAAUUCUCCAAAAAUACACUACUUUUGGAGAAUCCGACACGCACCCGUCGACAUUUUUGAAGAGUCUGAGCAAUAUAGAUAAAAAGUAUAAAAUUCAAUGCUAUGAAACACUUCGAUGCUGCAACAAAGGCUAUGAAACACUUUGAUGCUGCAACAAAGGUUUUACUUUCAUCACUUGUCUAAUCCUACCUUUAAUACCAUCUUCUAAUCUUGUACACAAUUCUUCAUCAAGCAAAUCAAUCUUCCCAGAAGAUUCUAAAGCAUCACGAACUAGUUUAUAAGUAUAUUCUCUUGGAAUCGAAC
rnacentral:lncRNA from 1 species